GGCCCUGAACACCUCAACCUCGGCAACGGCACUCACAACAACAAAUCCAGUGCACGAAACCAUGCAUAGAAGUAUCAGCAUCAGGAUUCUGAUAACAAACUUGAUGAUCGUCAUCCUCGGACUAGUCGGGCUGACAGGAAACGCCAUUGUGUUCUGGCUCCUGCUCUUCCGCUUGCGCAGGAACGCCUUCUCAAUCUACAUCCUAAACUUGGCCCUGGCUGACUUCCUCUUCCUCCUCUGCCACAUCAUAGCUUCCACAGAGCAUAUUCUCACAUUUUCCUCCCCCAACAGUAUCUUUAUCAACUGCCUUUACACCUUCAGGGUGCUUCUCUACAUCGCAGGCCUGAACAUGCUCAGUGCCAUCAGCAUUGAGCGCUGCCUGUCUGUCAUGUGCCCCAUCUGGUAUCGCUGCCACCGCCCAGAACACACAUCAACUGUCAUGUGUGCUAUGAUCUGGGUCCUGUCUCUAUUGCUCUGCAUUCUGUAUAGGUAUUUCUGCGGCUUCUUGGAUACCAAAUAUGAAGAUGACUAUGGGUGUCUAGCAAUGAACUUCCUUACUACCGCAUACCUGAUGUUUUUGUUUGUAGUCCUCUGUGUGUCCAGCCUGGCUCUGCUGGCCAGGUUGUUCUGUGGCGCUGGACGGAUGAAGCUUACCAGAUUAUACGUGACCAUCACGCUGACCCUUUUGGUUUUUCUCCUCUGCGGGUUGCCCUGUGGCUUCUACUGGUUCCUGUUAUCCAAGAUUAAGAAUGUUUUUAGUGAGGCCAAUACCUAAACAUGAUAAAAGCAAUCUACAGCAAACCAGUAGCCAACAUCAAAGUAAAUGGAGAGAAGCUGGAAGCAAUCCCACUAAAAUCAGGGACUAGACAAGGCUGCCCACUUUCUCCCUACCUUUUCAACAUAGUACUUGAAGUAUUAGCCAGAGCAAUUCGACAACAAAAGGACAUCAAGGGGAUACAAAUUGGAAAAGAGGAAGUCAAAAUAUCACUUUUUGCAGAUGAUAUGAUAGUAUAUAUAAGUGACCCUAAAAAUUCCACCAGAGAACUCCUAAACCUGAUAAACAGCUUCGGUGAAGUAGCUGGAUAUAAAAUUAACUCAAACAAGUCAAUGGCCUUUCUCUACACAAAGAAUAAACAGGCUGAGAAAGAAAUUAGGGAAACAACACCCUUCUCAAUAGCCACAAAUAAUAUAAAAUAUCUUGGCGUGACUCUAACGAAGGAAGUGAAAGAUCUGUAUGAUAAAAACUUCAAGUCCCUGAAGAAAGAAAUUAAAGAAGAUCUCAGAAGAUGGAAAGAUCUCCCAUGCUCAUGGAUUGGCAGGACCAACAUUGUAAAAAUGGCUAUCUUGCCAAAAGCAAUCUACAGAUUCAAUGCAAUCCCCAUUAAAAUUCCAACUCAAUUCUUCAACGAAUUAGAAGGAGCAAUUUGCAAAUUCAUCUGGAAUAACAAAAAACCGAGGAUAGCAAAAACUCUUCUCAAGGAUAAAAGAACCUCUGGUGGAAUCACCAUGCCUGACCUAAAGCUUUACUACAGAGCAAUUGUGAUAAAAACUGCAUGGUACUGGUAUAGAGACAGACAAGUGGACCAAUGGAAUAGAAUUGAAGACCCAGAAAUGAACCCACACACCUAUGGUCACUUGAUCUUCGACAAGGGAGCCAAAACCAUCCAGUGGAAGAAAGACAGCAUUUUCAACAAUUGGUGCUGGCACAACUGGUUGUUAUCAUGUAGAAGAAUGCGAAUCGAUCCAUACUUAUCUCCUUGUACUAAGGUCAAAUCUAAGUGGAUCAAGGAACUUCACAUAAAACCAGAGACACUGAAACUUAUAGAGGAGAAAGUGGGGAAAAGCCUUGAAGAUAUGGGCACAGGGGAAAAAUUCCUGAACAGAACAGCAAUGGCUUGUGCUGUAAGAUCGAGAAUUGACAAAUGGGACCUAAUGAAACUCCAAAGUUUCUGCAAGGCAAAAGACACUGUCUAUAAGACAAAAAGACCACCAACAGACUGGGAAAGGAUCUUUACCUAUCCUAAAUCAGAUAGGGGACUAAUAUCCAACAUAUAUAAAGAACUCAAGAAGGUGGACCUCAGAAAAUCAAAUAACCCCCUUAAAAAAUGGGGCUCAGAACUGAACAAAGAAUUCUCACCUGAGGAAUACCGAAUGGCAGAGAAGCACCUGAAAAAAUGUUCAACAUCCUUAAUCAUCAGGGAAAUGCAAAUCAAAACAACCCUGAGAUUCCACCUCACACCAGUGAGAAUGGCUAAGAUCAAAAAUUCAGGUGACAGCAGAUGCUGGCGAGGAUGUGGAGAAAGAGGAACACUCCUCCAUUGUUGGUGGGAUUGCAGGCUUGUACAACCACUCUGGAAAUCAGUCUGGCGGUUCCUCAGAAAAUUGGACAUAGUACUACCGGAGGAUCCAGCAAUACCUCUCCUGGGCAUAUAUCCAGAAGAAGCCCCAACUGGUAAGAAGGACACAUGCUCCACUAUGUUCAUAGCAGCCUUAUUUAUAAUAGCCAGAAACUGGAAAGAACCCAGAUGCCCCUCAACAGAGGAAUGGAUACAGAAAAUGUGGUACAUCUACACAAUGGAGUACUACUCAGCUAUUAAAAAGAAUGAAUUUAUGAAAUUCCUAGCCAAAUGGAUGGACCUGGAGAGCAUCAUCCUGAGUGAGGUAACACAAUCACAAAGGAACUCACACAAUAUGUACUCACUGAUAAGUGGAUACUAGCCCAAAACCUAGGAUACCCACGAUAUAAGAUACAAUUUCCUAAACACAUGAAACUCAAGAAAAAUGAAGACUGAAGUGUGGACACUAUGCCCCUCCUUAGAAGUGGGAACAAAACACCCAUGGAAGGAGUUACAGAAACAAAGUUUGGAGCUGAGAUGAAAGGAUGGACCAUGUAGAGACUGCCAUAUCCAGGGAUCCACCCCAUAAUCAGCAUCCAAACGCUGACACCAUUGCAUAUACUAGCAAGAUUUUAUCGAAAGGACCCAGAUGUAGCUGUCUCUUGUGAGACUAUGCCGGGGCCUAGCGAACACAGAAGUGGAUGCUCACAGUCAGCUAAUGGAUGGAUCACAGGGCUCCCAAUGGAGGAGCUAGAGAAAGUACCCAAGGAGCUAAAGGGAUCUUCAACCCUAUAGGUGGAACAACAUUAUGAACUAACCAGUACCCCUGAGCUCUUGACUCUAGCUGCAUAUAUAUCAAAAGAUGGCCUAGUCGGCCAUCACUGGAAAGAGAGGCCCAUUGGACACGCAGACUUUGUGUGCCCCGGUACAGGGGAACGCCAGGGCCAAAGGGGGGGAGUGGGUGGGUAGGGGAGUGGGGGUGGGUGGGUAAGGGGGACUUUUGGUAUAGCAUUGGAAAUGUAAAUGAGCUAAAUACCUAAUAAAAAAUGGAAAAAAAAAAAAAGAAAAAAAAAAAAAAAAAAAAAAAAAAAAAAAGAAUGUUUUUAGUGUAUUUGAAUUUAGUCUUUAUCUGACAUCAGUUGUCCUGACUGCUAUUAACAGCUGUGCCAACCCCAUCAUUUACUUCUUUGUGGGCUCAUUCAGGCAUCGGUUGAAGCACCAGACCCUCAAAAUGGUUCUCCAGAGUGCACUGCAGGACACUCCUGAGACACCUGAAAACAUGGUGGAGAUGUCAAGAAACAAAGCAGAGCUGUGAUGAAGAGCCUCUGCCCGGACCUCAGAGGUGGCUUUGGAGUGAGCACUGC